rnacentral:rRNA from 1 species
ACCAGUUGUCCCACCAGGGGCACCGCUGGAUAGCCACGUUCGGACAGGAUAACCGCUGAAAGCAUCUAAGCGGGAAACCCCCUCCAAGACCAGGCUUCUCACCCAUCAAGUGGGAUAAGGCCCCCCGCAGAACACGGGAUCGAUAGACCAGACCUGCACCCGCAGCAAUGCGCUCAGGGAACUGGCACUAACCGGCCGAAAACUUACAACAC